CAAGAAUUCGGAUGAAUAGUGACUGAAUAAUUGCGAUUGUGUUUCAGAUAUCGACUGAUGGGAAUCUGCUGGUCGGCAGAUCCUAAAAAGCGUCCAACGUUUUCUCAACUCUGCAAACUACUAGAUGUUCUGAAAACUGAACAAAAGCAAGAAGAACACCGACUAAGCAGUGCUAAUUCAUUGACAAAGAAAACAGUUGGGUUAAAAUUAGAAUCUCCAGGAGAAUCCUUCAAUUCAGCAAUGUGAAUAUUAUGGUUCCUUGGAAAUAUCCAACAUUCAUGAUCUUACACUUUGUACCAUGUCACUUCACACCAUGUCAAAACAUUGCAACAUCAAUUGUAAUUAUAUAUAGAAAUUCUAACUUAUUCAAUCGUAACUUAGUAUUGCUGAAACGCCCUAAUAGUAAAUUUAACCUAUUUUUGCUAAAACGGUCUAAGGGCUGUACUUAAUUGCUCUUCAUACAGACGCCGUAUUUGGAAAUGCUGCAUAUCUUAAAAGGAUAGUUAUAAUACAUCAUGCUACAAUAUUGUUAUAUAUGUAUUAUAUAUUGUUGAGAUAUCAUCACAUUGAAAAUAAAAAUGCUAUGUUUGCUUUGUAUCAAA